UCUGAAUACUGAGACACAUGUGAU
rnacentral:piRNA from 1 species